rnacentral:lncRNA from 1 species
AACGAGCCAAGCCGGUUUGGCUUGGCCCACUGCCACCCCCUACUUACUGUCAAAAAAAAUAGAAUUGAUAGAAAAACCCUCCUCCACGAGCUACAAAUCUACAAUGGGUUUGCUGUGCCAACGGACUAAGUGCGGAAUUGAAGGUAAGAACUUAUUUUCUGCCAAAAUAAAUUCCGUCCACAUGCAGUCAAUGUUAACCGAGCUUGAAACCUUUCGAUUUACCCUACUAUAGCCAAACGAGACCGUAACCAAGAGGUUGCACAUCCAACAAAAAUCGCAAUUUAAAUUUUCUUCCGACGAGGAUUCAUCUACUUCACUUGUGAAAGGUAAUUUCGUUUCAAUUAUUCUGAAGUUGUAAUGUUCGAAAAUCCGACUAAUAUUUUCGAAAUGUGUACAGUAUAUUAAGAUAUUCACCUACUUGUAAUUCCCUUGUAAAUAUUUUUGAAAUGUGUACAGAAUCUAGCUUUGUGGUGGCAUAGGGAUUGACAAAAUGACGGAGAAAGGUAAUCUCGUUAUAAAUUUUUUGAAGUUGCAUUGUUUCGAAGCCUAUGUAUUUUCACUGCUUCCGUAAUUUGUUGCUUCACUUCUAAUAUUAUUGAAAUUAGAUUUUCAUGAACAUUUGAACAAUACACAAAAUUCAUAUUCUCAUUCAAUAUGAUGUAGGAAAAGAAGUUGUGGAAGUAUUAGAUGAUGAAGUUUUAAUAGAAUCCAAUAAUGACAACAAUACAGACAAUAUCGUCAGAUUGAAAGAUGAUAUCCUAGGAGGAGAUGGCGUGAUUGUGUUUAAAGUCGGUAUGAAGUUCAAAGAUGAGAAAGAGUUGUUUAAGUUUUAUAAGAGGUAUGCGUAUGACGUAGGUUUUUCGGUUAGGAGGAGAAAUUCUAGAAAGGGAGAAGAUGGAGUAGUGAAUUACAUUACGUUGACAUGUUACCGUGAGGGCCAGAGAAGCAGUAAUGUAGGCGCUUCUUUGAAACCACAUCCAAUAAUUCAGACAUGUUACAAAGCAAGACUUACUACUUUUUCAUAUAUUCGUGGAAUAUGAAAAAUUUGCACAAUUGAUCUCGAACACAAUCAUAAAACUAGUCCUUCAAAAUUCAAAUUGUAUCGCUGCAAUUGAGUGCAAAUAUCAAACGCAAGCUCAAAGUGAACGAUAUAGCUGGAAUACCUUUGCGCAAGAGUUACAACUUGAAGCGAGUGGGUAUGAGAACAUGACUUGCGUGGAAAAUGAUUGUCGAAAUUGUGUUGGACGAGUGAGGCAAUUGAGACUCAGUGAAGGAGAUGUUGCGGCAAUAUAAUCCUACUUUUCACAAAUGCAAGCACAGUGCUCAGAUUUUUACUUCUGUAUGGAUUUCGAUGAAGAGUCACAGCUUAGGAAUCUCUUCUGGGCAAAUAAGAGGUAUAGGCAAGCAUAUAAGGAGUUUGGGGAUGUAGUGACGUUUGAUACCACUUAUCUCGCAAAUAAAUAUGACAUGCCUUUUGUCCCUUUGUUGGAGUAAAUCAUCAUGGACAAUCAACACUCCUUGGUUGUGAUUUGCUGACAAAUGAAGAUACAUAUACAUUUGUUUGGCUAUUCAGGAUAUGGAUGCAGUUUAUGCAUGGUCAAGCACCAAAUGGAAUUAUUAUCGAUCAAGACAUGGCCAUGCAAAAUACAAUUGAGAUAGUCUUUCCAAACACGAGGCAUAUAUGGUGUUUGUGGCAUAUAUUGAAGAAGUUGCCGAAGAAGUUUGGGUACCACGUUCAGAGAGGGUCCAAUUUUUCAUCUAUACACGACUUAGUGUAUGAGACACAGGUCGUUGAAAAAUUCGAAGAAGGUUGGAAAAGUUAUGCUUGAUACAUGUGACUUACAUGAUAUGAUUGGUUGUCGGGGUUGUUUGAGAAAAGGGGUCGUUGGGUGACAUGUUAUUUGAAAACAACUUUUUGGGUGUGGAUGUCAACAAUUUAGCACAGUGAGAGUAUAAAUGCGGUCUUCGAUGGGUAUAUACAUUUUAAGACAUUGUUGAAACAAUUCAUCAUACAAUACGAACGAGCAUUAUUAAAUAAAGUUGAGAAAGAAUUCCAAGCAGAUUUCAAGUCUUACUCACGGAUGGUAACCUGUGCAACAAAAUAUGAAAUGGAAAAGCAAUUAUAGGUUGUUUGUACCAUUUCAAAAUUUUGGGAAUUUCAAGAUGAGAUAACCGGAAAGGUCUACUACUAUGUGAUAUCUGCAAGUGAUAUAUAUUUGGAGAAGUUGUAUGAGGUUGAGGAUGAUGUCAUUUACGAAGAAUAUAUUAGAACGAAAAAGUUUUCAGUCACAUUUCGGGCAGAGGAUUGCAAUGUUAUUUGCAGUUGCCACUUAUUCGAGUUUCUUGGAAUUUUGUGUAGACAUGCCAUAUUAGUGUGGAUGCGUAAUGACGUCACAUCACUAUCAAAGAGGUACAUAUUGAGGAGAAUGGAGACGAGAUGUUUGUAGAACCCACACGAGGGUCGCUGUGAAUUACGACGGUCUGGUUAGUACUCCUAGCCAGUUGAGGUAUGAUAGAAUGUGUGAAAUGUUUGCUACAUUGGCAGACAUUGCUGUUGAUGACGAAGAUCGAGCUUGUGCGCUAAUAGAUUGGAUUCGAUUGCAAUCCAAAUACUUCAUGAUGUCUAUGAAGACGAGUUGGGGAAGUAAUAGCAUUUCGCAACCUAGUUUGCAUUUAGGUUCAUAGUCUAGAGCAUCAAAUGACAUUAGCAGCGGUAUGAUAGAAGAUCCUAAAUGUUCAAAAAGAAAGGGCGCACCGAAGAAACUUUGUCAUAAAAGCUCAUUGGAGUCGAUCUCGAAAAAAUAAAGGUUAUUUUUCUUUUACACAUUUUUCUCAUGUGUCAUAUAUUCAUUUGAACGAAUAUCAAAUGUUAAUUAUUCCCAUGUCAUGUAGGCAGCAUCAACUUCCAACAAAGGACAGAGAUCGAGAGAGGCGAAAAGUAAUCUUUGACCCGUCACACCUAUUGCUCAGUCCUCGCUACAAGCACAAUAUUCGAUGCUGACACUAUUCUCAAAUUCACAACUCAUAUUUGUAAGUAUUUAUUAUUGGUCAAUGUGUUGGAGGCAGGUUUCUAAUUAAAUUUUCAUUUUAUGCAGGCCGACGAGGAAAGUCACGCACUAACACAACAAUUGCCAUCUGCAAAUUUUAUUCCCGCAUUAACAUCGAAUGUUUUGUUCAAAUAUCCCGACGAGUAUACGAUUUCAAAUGUGUAUUUAGCAUGUUCCCAAAUGUGAAUUUAUCAUAUGUUAGAUAAUACAAUUCCAUACUACUGUCCCGAUUUCUCAUACAAUUUUGGAACACAAUUGGGAAUGAGACCGUUCGCAAUGGAUGUUUUCCCUCUUUGAUUUCAUGGUGUAAGUGGUGUAAUUUUUCUCCUUAUUAACAGUUAAUUUCAUAUGGUUUUCCAAUUUACUUGCAAUAACAAUAUGUUAAAUGUCAUUUCAACCAUUGCUUCACCAGCCAACAUAACAGAUUGGAUGUCCAGUGCCGCCCAUACCAAUCCGCAUGCUGUUGUUGCGAAAGAUCCUUCUAGUCUUGUUCAGAAUAUGAGUUCAGGAAUGGCUCAACAAGAUCCUACAAGUGAUAUUGCAAUGACCUCUCAAGAUGCUGGUUCAUCAAGGGGACUACUAUUUAAUUCCUAUAAUGAAACUCAAUAGACAUGUUAUGAUUUUUUUUUAUUUUUUAUUUUAUAUAUUUUUUUUCAAAAUCUGGUGUCAAGGAAUGGUCUUUUCUUUUGGUUUUUGAACUUUUGGGAUAAACAUUGGAAGAAUUGAGAAUCAAUUGUUGUUUAGACAGUGUACUUGUGUAGUUUUGCCUUUCUUUUAUCUAGGAUUUUUCUUGUGUUUCUCCACUUUGCUUUGAUAUUGUUUGCUGAGUGUUCACUUAUCAGAAAGUAGAUAGGUUAC